rnacentral:tRNA from 1 species
GGGGAUUUAGCUCAGUUGGGAGAGCGCCGGCUUUGCAAGCCGGAGGUCACCGGUUCGAUCCCGGUAUUCUCCA